GACGAACCGAGCGAACGUUGUUCGGAAUCACUGGGCUUAAAGGGCGCGUAGGCGGGUGCUCAAGUCCGGGGUGAAAUCCUCCAGCUCAACUGGAGAACUGCCUCGGAUACUGGGUGCCUCGAGGGUGGUAGGGGUAUGCGGAACUAUCGGUGGAGCGGUGAAAUGCGUAGAUAUCAGGAGGAACACCGGUGGCGAAGGCGCACAUCUGGCCCGAUACUGACGCUGAGGCGCGAAAGCUAGGGGAGCAAACGGG
rnacentral:rRNA from 1 species